rnacentral:rRNA from 1 species
UGAGGAAUAUUGGUCAAUGGGCGGAAGCCUGAACCAGCCAAGUAGCGUGCAGGAUGACGGCCCUACGGGUUGUAAACUGCUUUUAGGCGGGGGUAAAGUGCCGGACGUGUUCCGGUAUUGCAAGUACCGCCAGAAAAAGGACCGGCUAAUUCCGUGCCAGCAGCCGCGGUAAUACGGAAGGUCCGGGCGUUAUCCGGAUUUAUUGGGUUUAAAGGGAGCGUAGGCGGGCUAUUAAGUCAGCUGUGAAAUCCGGCGGCUCAACCGUCGGCCUGCAGUUGAUACUGGUGGCCUUGGGUGCGCGCAGGGGCGUUGGAAUUCAUGGUGUAGCGGUGAAAUGCUUAGAUAUCACGAAGAACUCCGAUUGCGAAGGCAGCUCACUGGAGCGCAACUGACGCUGAAGCUCGAAAGUGCGGGUAUCGAGCAGGAUUAGAUACCCUGGUAGU